GACGAACGCUGGCGGCGUGCUUAACACAUGCAAGUCGAACGGAAAGGCCCUGCUUUUGUGGGGUGCUCGAGUGGCGAACGGGUGAGUAACACGUGAGUAACCUGCCCUUGACUUUGGGAUAACUUCAGGAAACUGGGGCUAAUACCGGAUAGGAGCUCCUGCUGCAUGGUGGGGGUUGGAAAGUUUCGGCGGUUGGGGAUGGACUCGCGGCUUAUCAGCUUGUUGGUGGGGUAGUGGCUUACCAAGGCUUUGACGGGUAGCCGGCCUGAGAGGGUGACCGGCCACAUUGGGACUGAGAUACGGCUCAGACUCCUACGGGAGGCAGCAGUGGGGAAUAUUGCACAAUGGGCGGAAGCCUGAUGCAGCAACGCCGCGUGCGGGAUGACGGCCUUCGGGUUGUAAACCGCUUUCGCCUGUGACGAGGCGUGAGUGACGGUAAUGGGUAAAGAAGCACCGGCUAACUACGUG
rnacentral:rRNA from 1 species